CCUCUGUGAGAAGUGCAACUGAUGUCAUCGCUCAGUUUGUUUGAUGUAGCUAUCCGUACAGUUGAUUUAAAUGUUGUAUGGUUUGAGUUAUGAUUUGAGGGGUCCAAGAUGUUGGCGUGCACACAUAUACACACAUAUAUAUGUACAUAUAUUAAUAGUGACAGAAUUAUUAUUUUUAUAAUACACUAAGUGUUUUGAAAAUGUUUAAAUUUAAGGACGCUGAGUCAUUUUAUGCUUUACCAACAAUGACGCAGAGUAAAACUGGUCAGCAUCAACGUAACUUUUCUAUGAUGUGUAAGAAACGUUUUGACAUCAUUUACCAAUCGUCCUGCCUACUUUAUUAUAGAAAGCUUUUUAUGAGUUGUCGGAAGGCGGUGACGUCACAGGAAGUAAAAUAAAAAUGAUGACAAAUGGCGCUUGCGUUGUUGUGUUAGUUCAUUACAGUUUUUAUAAAAUUGUUCAUCAAAAAUUAUUUAAUAUUAUG